rnacentral:rRNA from 1 species
AUUGAACGCUGGCGGCAGGCUUAGCACAUGCAAGUCGAGCGGAGAUGAGGUGCUUGCACCUUAUCUUAGCGGCGGACGGGUGAGUAAUGCUUAGGAAUCUGCCUAUUAGUGGGGGACAACAUUCCGAAAGGAAUGCUAAUACCGCAUACGUCCUACGGGAGAAAGCAGGGGAUCUUCGGACCUUGCGCUAAUAGAUGAGCCUAAGUCGGAUUAGCUAGUUGGUGGGGUAAAGGCCUACCAAGGCGAUGAUCUGUAGCGGGUCUGAGAGGAUGGUGCGCCGCACUGGGACUGAGACACGGCCCAGAGUCCUACGGGAGGCAGCAGUGGGGAAUAUUGGACAAUGGGGGGAGCCCUGAUCCAGCCAUGCCGCGUGUGUGAAGAAGGCCUUAUGGUUGUAAAGCACUUUAAGCGAGGAGGAGGCUACUGAGACUAAUACUCUUGGAUAGUGGACGUUACUCGCAGAAUAAGCACCGGCUAACUCUGUGCCAGCCGCCGCCGUAA